rnacentral:sRNA from 1 species
GCCGGUUGUGGUGGUGCACGCCUGUAAUCCCAGUGACUUGGGAGGCUGAGGCAGGACGAUUCCAAGUCUGAGGUCAGCCUGAGCAGCAACUUAGUAAGACCCAGUCUCAA